rnacentral:rRNA from 1 species
GAUGAACGCUGGCGGCGUGCCUAAUACAUGCAAGUCGAGCGAAUGGAUUAAGAGCUUGCUCUUAUGAAGUUAGCGGCGGACGGGUGAGUAACACGUGGGUAACCUGCCCAUAAGACUGGGAUAACUCCGGGAAACCGGGGCUAAUACCGGAUAACAUUUUGAACCGCAUGGUUCGAAAUUGAAAGGCGGCUUCGGCUGUCACUUAUGGAUGGACCCGCGUCGCAUUAGCUAGUCGGUGAGGUAACGGGCCACCAAAGCAACGAUGCGUAGCCGAGCGGAGAGGGUGAUCGGCCACACUGGGACUGAGACACGGCCCAGACUCCGACGGGAGGCAGCAGUAGGGAAUCUUCCGCAAUGGAUGAAAGUCUGACGGAGCAACGCCGCGUGAGUGAUGAAGGCUUCCGGGUCGUAAAACUCUGUUGUUAGGGAAGAACAAGUGCUAGUUGAAUAAGCUGGCACCUUGACGGUACCUAACCAGAAAGCCACGGCUAACUACGUGCCAGCAGCCGCAGUAA